GCCGGCGUGGCGCGAGGAGGCGGCAGGCAGCGGCUCCGAGCUGAGGGGGAGGGCGGCGGGGCACGAAAUGGUGAGGCUGGAUCGGUAAAUAAAUGGACCGGGAAGGGGACGAUGACACACCGCUUGUCCCCGACGGGCGCGAUCAGGGAGAAAACAUCCCCCCAAAAGCACCUGUCCGAGAACCAGCAGCCGGCGGGUUGCAUGCGGCAGGGCAACGGGCCUCGCCCAGGUGGGAGCUCUCUUCCCUGUCCUCCGUGAGGAGAGCGAGCAGCCCCGCGGACACGGACAUCAUCAACACCCAGAGAAAAAAAGAGACUUGGUAUUUAAAUGUCUGGGGGCUUACAGACCAGUUUCAAGCACUGCUGCACUGAGGAAUAGAACAGUACUUUCCUAUCGCUAUGAGGAAAAAGGAAGAGAAAGGUCAAGAAGACUCCAGCCCAGGUGAAGACCCCUCCUCUGAGCAUGCAUAGUGAUUACAAGGAAUGACAAAGAAAAUAUGGAAGAAGUUUCUCAUUCCAUCCUAACAGAGAACAACAAACAUCUUUUUGAAGGAAAAUCAAUCUCCAUCAAAAUACAUAGAAGUAGGAACAUUUUUAACAUUUGCAAAAUCCAAGUUUCUUUGGAAAGAGCGGUGAAUAACACUACUGAGAAGGAGAAACCAGAACACUAUUCCUGUGAACCAUGGCUUUGUAAUAGUCAUGCGCCCUGACUAUCAAGAAAUUACAUAUAUCCUGUUGGCAACCCAAAACCACCCUGACUGAUUAAAAGAUGUUAUAUAGGUAUUAAUUAACUGACCAAACUGUUGCAACAUUUAAACUUCUCUUUCUUGUAUCUACAUCAACUUGAAAGAACUUGUUAUCAUCAAGAUCUUUCAUCAAGAGAACUAAAUGAAGAAAAAUAAAGUGUCCUCUUUUAAGGAAUUAUUAAACAAAAUCCCUGAUGAUCCAAUCUCUUAUUCUAGCAAAUACUUUUAAUGUCAAUUAAACCCAGAUUAUCUUAUGC